UCCCCCCCAAGGAAAACAGGGUCUCCAGUAGCCCAAGUCACACCUGAAUUUGUUGCAAAGCCAAGGCUGGCCUAAAGUUCCUGGUCCUCCUGCCUCAGCUUUCUGAGUUCUGGGAUUAAAGAAGUUUGCAACCAUGUCUGGCUCCAGAUGAUGAGCACCCUAACUGAUUCCACCCACAAAGGAGGAACUGAGGCCCGGAGCCCAUCCCCAAGAAUACAUGGCUAGAGAGGAACAAUUUUGAUUUCAUCCAUAUCUAUCAAGAUUGUCUGAAUUCAGAAGAUCAAGCAAAGAGAAGUCAUCAAAUAAAUAAGGAGCUUGCUGCAUAAUCACGAGGACCUGUAUCCAGAUCCCUAGCAUGAGCUCGUACGCAAAAGGCUGGGGCCAGUGAGAUGGAUCAGUGGGUAAAGGUGUCUGUCACCUAGCCUGACAACCUGUUCAGUCCCCAGAAAGGAGAAAAGCCUAUUCCUGCCAGCCCUUCCGACUUCCACACACAGUUACCUGUUUGCCUUCCCUGCUUUCUACACACCCAUAAAAAGACGCUAAUGAGCAUGCCCAGGGGAACACUGGGAACCAGAGUGCUAAAGACGAUGAAGAAGGCCGGCUCUGAGAAAUUUCUGGAAUGAGCAUCGGGGAUUUCAGAUGCUCCAGAGACCUCACCUAACAGGAGGAGGAGGACACACCCUGCAAACCUUGUCAUCUCUUGCUUGGAUGCUCUCCGGGAGGAGCUGUGCAAACCACAGGCAAGUGACAGGCAAG